rnacentral:rRNA from 1 species
UACGGAGGGGGCAAGCGUUGUUCGGAGUUACUGGGCGUAAAGCGCGCGUAGGCGGUGCGGUAAGUCAGGGGUUAAAGGCUGCAGCUCAACUGCAGUAAGGCCUUUGAUACUAUCGCGCUAGAGUACCAGAGAGGAUGGCGGAAUUCCCGGUGUAGCAGUGAAAUGCGUAGAUAUCGGGAGGAAGGUCGGUGGCGAAGGCGGCCUCCUGGGCCUGCACUGACGCUGAGGCGCGAAAGCGUGGGGAGCAAACAGG